UACGGAGGGGGCGAGCGUUAUUCGGAAUUAUUGGGCGUAAAGGGCGCGUAGGCGGCCCUGCAAGUCAAAGGUGAAAUCCCUCGGCUCAACUGAGGAACUGCCUUUGAAACUGCAGGGCUUGAGUCCGGGAGGGGGUAGCGGAAUUCCCAGUGUAGCGGUGAAAUGCGUAGAUAUUGGGAGGAACACCAGUGGCGAAGGCGGCUACCUGGACCGGAACUGACGCUGAUGCGCGAAAGCGUGGGUAGCAAACAGG
rnacentral:rRNA from 1 species